UGAAAUGUACCUAUAUUAUGGCUCACUUAUUUUAUGGUUAAAUUCAUUCAAUUCACACUUGAAACAUUUUCUUAAAUAGCUACUAUACACCAUCAAUUUAAUUUUAUAAAUAAAUUAAGUUGGUAAAGUUAACUUGGUCUCGUUUCACUAAUUUUACUGUAUAGGUAGGUAGUAGGUAUGUACAACUAAAAAAUACAAAUAUACAAUACUGUUAGACUAGUCUUUUACUCUACUCGGUUUAUUCCAUAAUUUCCAAUAAUAAGACAAUAACACAUGAGUAAUAAGUAAUUACUAAUAGGCGCGCCUUAUAUAAUUCUACCUAUUUUUUUUUUAUAGUCUAGUGUUGCAGUAUUGCACAGAUAUCAGACUUGUUAAUUUAAUUGUUGGUUAAUUGUAACUUUUGCCUACUUAGUAGGCUUAGACCAGGAGCUUCAUAAAUCCUAACGUAUUUCAUUAAUCAAUAUGUAGACUUGCCAGAUUAUUAAUAUUCCAAAUUUGUACAUCAAGCAAUAUGACUUAUGAAUAGGCAGUUGUUUGGACGAGGGAUAGCACAAUCUUCACAUCUCCAACCAUGGCCACAACUUUGGUACACAUACCGUUUGCCAUUGGGUACAUCUUCUCUAAAGGCCCUCAAACAACAAAGGCAGUUGCUGCCUGUUGGGUCCAAUAAACUGUUCAAAUUAUUCAUCCAUUGGCCUAUAAUCAAAGAGUGUUGGU